rnacentral:rRNA from 1 species
AUGAUGUCCACGCUCAGGAGGAAGCUCGGCGGAAUGCCCGUCAAACUAGUCGGCGUUGAUGUCGAGUACACGCACUACGUGAAGCCACAGCGGGCAGCAAUGCUCCAGCUAUGCGUAGAAAAAGAAUGCCUUGUCUACCACAUCUCUGCAGCUAAAGACAGGCCAAUGGAACUAGACAAAUUCCUCAUGAAUGGUGAGUACACCUUCGUCGGAUUCGCCAUUGAAGGAGACAAAAGCAAGCUGAAGCUAUCUGGUUUGGAGAUCAACUCUGAUAACUACAUUGAUAUUCAGGUGGAAUGGAGAGACCCAUACAAUAAAAAGAAGUUUGCCUCUUUGGCUGAUGUUGCCGGCAGGAUGAUAGACAUUCACUACAAUGACAUGAAGAAAAAAAAUUAA